GACGAACGCUGGCGGCGUGCUUAACACAUGCAAGUCGAACGGAAAGGCCCUGCUUUUGUGGGGUGCUCGAGUGGCGAACGGGUGAGUAACACGUGAGUAACCUGCCCUUGUCUUUGGGAUAACUUCAGGAAACUGGGGCUCAUACCGGAUAGGAGCUCCUGCUGCAUGGUGGGGGUUGGAGAGUUUCGGCGGUUGGGGAUGGACUCGCGGCUUAUCAGCUUGUUGGUGGGGUAGUGGCUUACCAAGGCUUUGACGGGUAGCCGGCCUGAGAGGGUGACCGGGCACAUGGGGACUGAGGUAGGGCCCAGACGCCAACGGGAGGCAGCAGUGGGAAAUAUUGCACAAUGGGCGGAAGCCUGAGACAGAAACGCCGGGUGCGGGAUGACGGCCUUCGGGGGGUAAACCGCUGUCGCCUGUGACGAAGCGGGAGUGACGGUAAUGGGUAAAGAAGCACCGGCUAACUACGUG
rnacentral:rRNA from 1 species